rnacentral:rRNA from 1 species
AUUGAACGCUGGCGGCAGGCCUAACACAUGCAAGUCGAGCGAGCGGCGGAAGGGUGAGUAAUGUAUGGGGACUGCCCGAUAGAGGGGGAUAACUACUGGAAACGGUAGCUAAUACCGCAUACUAUCGGAUAACCCAUAUGGGAUUAGCUAGUAGGUGAGGUAAUGGCUCACCUGGGCGACGAUCCCUAGCUGGUCUGAUGGGAGGAUCAGCCCGACUGGGACUGAGACACGGCCCAGACUCCGCCGGAGGCAGCAGUGGGGAAUAUUGCACAAUGGGCGCAAGCCUGAUGCAGCCAUGCCGCAUGUAUGAAGAAGGCCCUAGGGUUGUAAAGUACUGUCAGUCGGGAGGCGUUACCGACAGAAUAAGCACCGGCUAACUCCGUGCCAGCAGCCGCGGUAAUAC